rnacentral:snRNA from 1 species
AGCUUUGUGCAGGUGGCCUUUCAUAGCCAGCUUGAAGUUUAUCUGAGGCACUUGCUAAUUGAAAACUUUUCUCAAUACCCUGCCAUGAUGAAAUAUGGUGGCACUGGCAUUUUGAGGACUUCUAUGCGAGA